UUAUUAUUCAGAAGUUCUUCGGGAUGGAAGGAUAAGAACUUAGUGGCGGACGGGUGAGUAACGCGUGGGUAACCUGCCCUUUUGUGGGGAACAACUUCGAGAAAUCGGAGCUAAUACCGCAUAAUAAUAGAGGAUCGCAUGAUUCUUUAAGGAAAGAUGGCCUCUGAAGAUGCUAUCGCAAAAGGACGGACCCGCGUCUGAUUAGCUAGUUGGAAGGGUAACGGCCUACCAAGGCAACGAUCAGCAGCCGGCCUGAGAGGGUGAACGGCCACAUUGGGACUGAGACACGGCCCAAACUCCUACGGGAGGCAGCAGUGGGGAAUCUUCCGCAAUGGGCGAAAGCCUGACGGAGCAAUGCCGCGUGAGUGAAGAAGGCCUUCGGGUUGUAAAACUCUGUCCUUAUCGAAGAGAGGUAGGUAUGUGAAUAAUGUACCUAUAGGACGGUAGAUAAGGAGGAAGCCCCGGCUAACUACGUGCCAGCAGCCGCGGUAAUACGUAGGGGGCGAGCGUUGUCCGGAAUCACUGGGCGUAAAGGGCGCGUAGGCGGUUUAAUAAGUCAGUGGUGAAAACUGAGGGCUCAACCCUCAGCCUGCCACUGAUACUGUUAGACUUGAGUAUGGAAGAGGAGAAUGGAAUUCCUAGUGUAGCGGUGAAAUGCGUAGAUAUUAGGAGGAACACCAGUGGCGAAGGCGAUUCUCUGGGCCAAGACUGACGCUGAGGCGCGAAAGCGUGGGGAGCAAACAGGAUUAGAUACCCUGGUAGUCCACGCCGUAAACGAUGGAUACUAGGUGUUAGUAGUUUCGAUGCUACUAGUGCCGGAGUAAACACAAUAAGUAUCCCGCCUGGGGAGUACGGUCGCAAGACUGAAACUCAAAGGAAUUGACGGGGGCC
rnacentral:rRNA from 1 species